CAAUAGCGUAUAUUUAAGUUGUUGCAGUUAAAAAGCUCGUAGUUGGAUUUCGGUUAAGAGCGACCGGUCCGCCGUUUGGUGUGCACUGGUUGGUUUUAACUUCCUGUAGAGGACGUGCUCUGGGUUUAACGACCUGGACACGGAGUCUACGUGGUUACUUUGAAAAAAUUAGAGUGUUCAAAGCGGGCUUACGCUUGAAUAUUUCAGCAUGGAAUAACACUAUAGGACUCCUGUCCUAUUUCGUUGGUCUCGGGACGGGAGUAAUGAUUAAGAGGAACAGUUGGGGGCAUUCGUAUUUCAUUGUCAGAGGUGAAAUUCUUGGAUUUAUGAAAGACGAACUUCUGCGAAAGCAUUUGCCAAGGAUGUUUNCAUUAA
rnacentral:rRNA from 1 species